CCUACGGGAGGCAGCAGUGAGGAAUAUUGGUCAAUGGGCGCGAGCCUGAACCAGCCAAGUAGCGUGAAGGAUGACUGCCCUACGGGUGGUAAACUUCUUUUAUAAAGGAAUAAAGUGAGGCACGUGUGCCUUUUUGUACGUACUUUAUGAAUAAGGAUCGGCUAACUCCGUGCCAGCAGCCGCGGUAAUACGGAGGAUCCGAGCGUUAUCCGGAUUUAUUGGGUUUAAAGGGAGCGUAGAUGGGUUGUUAAGUCAGUUGUGAAAGUUUGUGGCUCAACCGUAAAAUUGCAAUUGAUACUGGCAGUCUUGAGUACAGUUGAGGUAGGCGGAAUUCGUGGUGUAGCGGUGAAAUGCUUAGAUAUCACGAAGAACUCCGAUUGCGAAGGCAGCUUACUGAGCUGCCACUGACAUUGAUGCUCGAAAGUGUGGGUAGCAAACAGGAUUAGAUACCCGAGUAGUC
rnacentral:rRNA from 1 species